rnacentral:rRNA from 1 species
GGUUAAGCGACUAAGCGUACACGGUGGAUGCCCUGGCAGUCAGAGGCGAUGAAGGCGUGCUAAUCUGCGAUAAGCGCCGGUAAGGUGAUAUGAACCGUUAUAACCGGCGAUACCCGAAUGGGGAAACCCAGUGUGAUUCGUCACACUAUCAUUAACUGAAUCCAUAGGUUAAUGAGGCGAACCGGGGGAACUGAAACAUCUAAGUACCCCGAGGAAAAGAAAUCAACCGAGAUUCCCCCAGUAGCGGCGAGCGAACGGGGAGGAGCCCAGAGCCUGAAUCAGCAUGUGUGUUAGUGGAAGCGUCUGGAAAGGCGCGCGAUACAGGGUGACAGCCCCGUACACAAAAGCGCAUGUGCUGUGAGCUCGAUGAGUAGGGCGGGACACGUGGUAUCCUGUCUGAAUAUGGGGGGACCAUCCUCCAAGGCUAAAUACUCCUGACUGACCGAUAGUGAACCAGUACCGUGAGGGAAAGGCGAAAAGAACCCCGGCGAGGGGAGUGAAAAAGAACCUGAAACCGUGUACGUACAAGCAGUGGGAG